rnacentral:rRNA from 1 species
ACGCUGGCGGCAGGCCUAACACAUGCAAGUCGAGCGGUAGAGAGAAGCUUGCUUCUCUUGAGAGCGGCGGACGGGUGAGUAAUGCCUAGGAAUCUGCCUGGUAGUGGGGGAUAACGUCCGGAAACGGACGCUAAUACCGCAUGCGUCCUACGGGAGAAAGCAGGGGACCUUCGGGCCUUGCGCUAUCAGAUGAGCCUAGGUCGGAUUAGCUAGUUGGUGGGGUAAUGGCUCACCAAGGCGACGAUCCGUAACUGGUCUGAGAGGAUGAUCAGUCACACUGGAACUGAGACACGGUCCAGACUCCUACGGGAGGCAGCAGUGGGGAAUAUUGGACAAUGGGCGAAAGCCUGAUCCAGCCAUGCCGCGUGUGUGAAGAAGGUCUUCGGAUUGUAAAGCACUUUAAGUUGGGAGGAAGGGCAGUUACCUAAUACGUGAUUGUUUUGACGUUACCGACAGAAUAAGCACCGGCUAACUCUGUGCCAGCAGCCGCGGUAAUACAGAGGGUGCAAGCGUUAAUCGGAAUUACUGGGCGUAAAGCGCGCGUAGGUGGUUCGUUAAGUUGGAUGUGAAAUCCCCGGGCUCAACCUGGGAACUGCAUUCAAAACUGACGAGCUAGAGUAUGGUAGAGGGUGGUGGAAUUUCCUGUGUAGCGGUGAAAUGCGUAGAUAUAGGAAGGAACACCAGUGGCGAAGGCGACCACCUGGACUGAUACUGACACUGAGGUGCGAAAGCGUGGGGAGCAAAC